rnacentral:lncRNA from 13 species
ACCAGAUUUGAUCCCAAUCCUACUGAAUCGUAACCCAGUCCAGUUGAAACCAGAGUUGAUCCCAAUCCUACUGAAUCGUAACCCAGUCCAGUUGAAACCAGAGUUGAACCCAAUCCUACUGAAUCUCACCCCGGUCCAGUUGAACCCAGAGUUGAUCCCAAUCCUACUGAAUCGUAACCUAGUCCAGUUGAACCCAGAGUUGAACCCAAUCCUACUGAAUCUCACCCCGGUCCAGUUGAACCCAGAGAUGAUCCCAAUCCUACUGAAUCUCACCCGGGUCCAGUUGAAACCAGAGUUGACCCCAAUCUUACUGAAUCUCACCCCAGUCCAGUUGAAACCAGAUUUGAUCCCAAUCCUACUGAAUCGUAACCCAGUCCAGUUGAAACCAGAGUUGAUCCCAAUCCUACUGAAUCGUAACCCAGUCCAGUUGAAACCAGAGUUGAACCCAAUCCUACUGAAUCUCACCCCGGUCCAGUUGAACCCAGAGUUGAUCCCAAUCCUACUGAAUCGUAACCUAGUCCAGUUGAACCCAGAGUUGAACCCAAUCCUACUGAAUCUCACCCCGGUCCAGUUGAACCCAGAGAUGAUCCCAAUCCUACUGAAUCUCACCCGGGUCCAGUUGAAACCAGAGUUGACCCCAAUCUUACUGAAUCUCACCCCAGUCCAGUUGNNNNNNNNNNAAUCCUACUGAAUCGUAACCCAGUCCAGUUGAAACCAGAGUCGAUCCCAAUCCUACUGAAUCGUAACCCAGUCCAGUUGAACCCAGAGUCGAUCCCAAUCCUACUGAAUCGUAACCCCGGUCCAGUUGAACCCAGAGUCGAUCCCAAUCCUACUGAAUCGUAACCCAGUCCACACCAUUCCAGUGAAAAAGGUAACAUUCAAUCCCUAUAUUUCAAUUCAGAGUGACCGGAGUCUACAUGUGUUGACCCUCCACUACACCACUGGCUCAGACAGUAGAGUGGAGGGCAGCUACUGACAGUAGAG